rnacentral:ribozyme from 13 species
CAACUUCCUCUUUAUUCUGUUCUCCUCCCGCACAGUUUCCCAUUGUGGGAACAACACCACCCAAAAGAGAGAGAGAGGAAGUGAAAGGAGAAGAAGAGAAAGAGGAGAGGAGCGGAGAGGAGAAGUGUUUUUCUUUUCUGUGUUCUUUUGAAAAAAAAAACACAAAAAAAAAAAA